rnacentral:lncRNA from 1 species
AAGCAGCACCUCUCCAUGGUUUCUGCAUCAGCUCCUGCCUCCAGGAUUUAUGAUAUGUGAUCCAGUGAAAGGAUUGUUCAACCCACAAAGGGAUUGAGAUCCAUAGGUUGAGAACUGUUGAUCUAGAUGAAGAUUACUAGCGGGCAUCUGCAUAGAGUAGAAAAGGUACAGUCAUUAUCCCCCUCCUGGUCUACCCUCUUCUUCAUAUCCUGAGAUGUAUUCUGAGGGUCCAAAUAUGGCGGAUAAUCAGACAGCCACAAUGAUUUCAGUGGAUUCCAGGAAGCUGCCUUGCUGUUUGUGCACGGCUUUCCCCUUGGAAGAUAUGAUAGGGACACUGCGGGUUUUGUCACAGGAGGAAACAGAUGUUGGAAGUUUUCUUCAGAGAAGAAAAUAAGCACAAGUUUCUGAUUGACAGUCCUGGAUAGUAAGGAUGCAAUUCAUGGUGGAGCAAAUCCAAACCAAACAGAGUAAUCACUUUGAAGUACAGCAUAUUGUGUAUGAAGCAUACUGUAAGAGUCCAAGCUACCAAGCAUGUACCCCUGCAUUCUGUCCAUAAAGGUCCUCUUGAGUAUAAUUUUCUAUUUGUACCAAUCAACUUUACAACUUCAUCUUUGGUAAGAAUGUCAGACACAAACUUCUGUGCUCUUAGGGACAUGAAACCAGCCAUAACUCAGAACAGCACUGAUGCUGGC